rnacentral:lncRNA from 1 species
GUCUCUCCUGGGCCUCCGGCUCCGUCCCUCAGGGUCUGAACCUUUCUGUCCCCUCUCCUGUGGGUCGUGGUCUCUCUCACUGUCCACAGGCAGGCCUUGGAGCUUUAGUCUGGCCUGGCGCUGGGGCUGGGGGGAGGUUCCAUGACAGUUGGAGGGGUUCCAGGAGGUUGGGACGUUGGCCAUGGACUCAUGUUCUACUCUAGGUGCACUGGAACCGAUCUCUUCAUGGGAGGAGGACCGCAAGUUCGUCCUGCGAGCCUGGUGUCUCGUCUUCAUCAUCCUGGCAACCAUGAUGCUGCUCAGCGUGCUGGACGGGCGUAUGGCCUACCUGCACGGUUCCUACACCGGCUACGUGGGCUUCUGGACCAACUGCGAGAAGCACACGUGUGCCGACCUGCGCCAAGUCACGGUUCUCAUCCACAUGAGCAUGGGCCUCAUGAUCCUGGCCAUGAUCCUGUCUCUAGUCCUCCUCCUGGCCAUGGGCUUCUCCUUCCGGCCCGCGCUCCGCCGUCUUAACAAGACCGACCUCGUCUUCAGUACCCUCAGCUCCUUCACUGGAAUCCUGAGCUACUUAAACUACAUGGGCAUGUGGGGCAAAGGGACGCCCUCCAUGGAACGGCGGAUGAGCUACCGCCGGUGGGCCUCGCUGCAGAACACCCGGAAGUCCUUAUCCGAACCGCCGCCGUCGUUGGACGCAGGCUCCAAGCACAACGAGGACCUGUCCGUUUAAGAGCCUGCCCCCGGCCCCCCACCACCGCCAGCCCCGUCCAAGCCUCUCGAAGCCAACUGCACCCGAGCUUCUCAGGACACUGAUGCCAGGCCACCCCUUUCACCUUGGCCUUCCCGCCCAGCGUGUCUCUCCCUGCCCCCACCCCGGAAGUCCGACGGUGCCCACUCGCGUUCAGCGCCCGCGCGUGGCCAGAGCGGUGUGGCCCCGGCCCCGAGCCUGGUGAGGCCCCGCCCCCAGGUGUCUAGCUCUCACUGGCGGGGGCCUGAAGCCUCACGCCAUUAUAGGCAUUCCUACCCCUCCGAGGGCCAGCACCGCCCCAGAACGUCCAGUCUGGCCCCCCGGACAGACAUGACACUGCCCAGCCUUGGAUGUCGCCCCGCUCAACGGUGGAACAGGCCCUACCCCCGGGGGGCGUGGCUUGCAAUUAUAUUUCCACCGUCCUUCACGUUC